rnacentral:lncRNA from 1 species
UCUUUACUUUGUCUUGCUUUUAGUUUUGGAAAAAGCUGUUUGUGACUGCUGUGUCUGAAAAGUGAUAAAUAGAUAUUUCUUACCUACCUGUUAUAAACUAUAAAGCGUUUUACAGAAAAUAAACUAUAAACCAUAAUUACUUUUCAUUUCCAAGUCCUAAAUGAGCAUGUAGUGGAGGACAAAUUUGACUCUUCUAUGGAUGAUAAGAACAUAACUUUUUAAAAUAAUAUAAUCAUGACCUCAGGGCUACAGCUAUACCGACAUCCCAGCUUGCUCACCCAUUACUUUUACAACACUACCUUAGUACAACAGGCAAAAACUGGCGCUGAAGCAAUGACAUAAAAACAAAACCUGAAGCUUCUAACAAUAAUGUAUCUCAGUGUACCAAGGUACCUGACAUUUCACUGCAUCAUGAGCUUGUGCCGCCACCCAACCGGACUGAGUAUUAGGGGGAGACUACAGGAUCAAAUCAAUAAGAAACACGAAAGAGACACAGACAAGAAAGGACUGCAUGACAGACGGAAAGAAAAAGAGAGGAGGCUGCAGUACAGAUAACCCAGUGAGACAUAAUGGAGAGUGUGGAAACCAAGAUAAGAUUAUAAAUUAGUGAGAAAGUGACAAAAAGAAAAUGAGAAGUAGGAAAUUUAAAACCCACACCAGAAUGUCUGUUCAUGAAAAUGAUUGAAGUAGGGAGAAAGUUGAUAGAAUCUCCUUCCUGUACCAAUUUCUGGUAAGUUCAUUUUAUCUAUACGUCUAAAUAUUUCUUUCCCCUCUUACCACUAUUUCAGAGAAACCAUCUUUUUUUAAUGUAUUUUUGGAAAUGGUGAGUCAAACUCUAAGAUGAUUCAGGCAUAGACAGUGUUAGAAUAAAACCUUUCACAGAAAGUCUGAAUAUAAACUUUUACUGCCACAGCUCAUUGUACAAGAUGUCUUCUACCUGUCUGUGAGUAUAAUUACGCAGACAGCAGGACUCCAGUUGCUCAAAAGACAAAAACAUAAUCCUUGGCUAAUAGUAUUAUUUUUUUCCCAAUAAAGAUCUAAAGAUAAAUCUAGCAUGACCGUGUU